rnacentral:siRNA from 1 species
UGGCUUGGUCAACGAAUUUCU